rnacentral:rRNA from 1 species
ACACGUCGGGGGCGAGCGUUGUUCGGAAUCAUUGGGCGUAAAGGGCGUGCAGGCGGUCCUGCAAGUCCGGCGUGAAAGACCCCGGCCCAACCGGGGGGACGGGCUGGAAACUGCAGGGCUUGAGUACAGGAGGGGAUGCCGGAAUUCCAGGUGUAGGGGUGAAAUCUGUAGAUAUCUGGAAGAAAACCAAUGGCGAAGGCAGGCAUCUGGCCAUGUACUGACGCUGAGACGCGAAGGUGCGGGGAGCAAACAGGUUUAGAUACCCUGGUAGUCCGCACAGUAAACGAUGUGCACCAGGUGGCGGGGGGUCGACCCCCGGUACCGUAGCUAACGCAUUAAGUGCACCGCCAGGGGAGUAUGCUCGCAAGGGUGAAACUCAAAUGAAUUGGCGGGG